rnacentral:rRNA from 1 species
GCCUGGUAGCGGGGGAUAACUAUUGGAAACGAUAGCUAAUACCGCAUAACAGUAGAUAUUGCAUGAUAUCUGCUUGAAAGGUGCAAUUGCAUCACUACCAGAUGGACCUGCGUUGUAUUAGCUAGUUGGUGAGGUAACGGCUCACCGAGGCGACGAUACAUAGCCGACCUGAGAGGGUGAUCGGCCACACUGGGACUGAGACACGGCCCAG